ensembl:lncRNA
UGUCAAACAAGUUUAUUAGAAAACAUAACAGUACCUCAUAUCUUAUAAUUAGACAUUUGCAGUCAGAGUGGGCUUUUAGGAAAGGAUUGAAAUCACACAGAAGACCAGACUUCCUCUUUCCAGAAGAGCAUGGACACCACUGAAAAACUGUGCAUUUAAAAAGGACAAAGUGAAGAACACAUGAAAGUUUCUUUUGGUUAACAGGUCAAAUGGACAGUGAAGAUCGAUGUCACAACUGAGAUUCCCAACAGAAUGCUGUAGUGGGCGUGUGUGAAGAUGAAGAUCUGAAAGUUUCAGAAAUAUGAACAGAAGAAGAGAGCUGAAUGUUGAUGACGGUACAGCUGAAUUUACUCUAAAUAGUAUCAAGAGAAAAAUUACUGCCAGUUUUUCUUCCAAGUGUCCUGCCUUAUUCAGCAGAGUGAUGGCGAUAAUUUUAGGGUAUUAAACAAGAUGCAAAAAUUUUCUGUCUCAUUCUCUU